CAUGUUCACGUCCCUUUCUUCUGUGGUUCUCAUCCGACAGGGGAGAAGAUGGAUCGAAAAGAUCCACAACUUUCUUCAUUCCUUUGGUUGACUUUAGGAUUUCCUUCUCCACCAUUACAAUUGUCCAGAAAUUUCUGUCCUGAGGGCUGAGGCUGAGGUUGAAGCUGAGGCUUAGACUCGUCGUGUUAUAAAUUGGUUGCAUUGCUUAGCUUUAGUUUUCGUCAGACAUACAUAACAAGAGAGAGCUUCUUGCUAUGGAAGUGCCAGCGCCUCCGUUGCUUCGCCUGUUGGUGGCCUUGCUUGGGUUGUCGCACCUUUUGUGUGCGAAUGCUGUUCCUUCUACGAGAACUGAAUUCCUAACACACGGUCUUCGUGUUCCUGGGCUCGUCAAUCAUCAUUCUUGGGAAGAAAAGGCUUUUCACAUCGGAGAAUAUAUCAGUGAAAGGAAAAUGGUUGCUGUGGAGUUGAACGAUUACCCAGGACCAGGGGCCAAUCAUCGCCACACUCCAUAGCCCCAGUUCGGAAGAGACUGCGUCGAAUGCUAUCUCUAGGUAUUACUGAAAGAUUAGAUACCUAAUUAAGGAUUACGGAAUAAUAGCAUGUUAAUUCCCAUGUUAAGGGAUGAGGCGACACGAUUUUUUUCCACGAUCAGCUUUUUACGGUCAGUUAAGUUUCGUUGAACAUAAGUAGCGAACUGUGAAUAGCAGAAAGGGUCUUAUUGUAUUAUGAUGUGAGCAGUGUAACCGUGAAAUAAUUACACAUUAUUGCAUCUCAGCACUUA